rnacentral:rRNA from 1 species
AAUAGAUACCCCGGGUAGUCCACGCCGUAAACGAUGGGGUGCUAAGUGUUAGGAGGGUUUCCGCCCUUUAGUGCUGCAGCUAACGCAUUAAGCACUCCGCCGUGGGGAGUACGGCCGCAAGGACUGAAACUCAAAGGAAUUGACGGGGGCCCGCACAAGCGGUGGAGCAUGUGGUUUAAUUCGAAGCAACGCGAAAGAACCUUACCAGGUUCUUGACAUCCUACUGACAAUCCUAGGAGAUAGGGGCUUUCCCCUUCGGGGGUACAGAGUGACAGGUGGUGCAUGGUUGUCGUCAGCUCGUGUCGUGAGAUGUUGGGUUAAGUCCCGCAACGAGCGCAACCCUUGAUCUUAAGUUGCCGAGCAUUCAGUUGGGCACUCUAAGGUGACUGCCGGUGACAAACCGGAGGAAGGUGGGGAUGACGUCAAAUCAUCAUGCCCCUUAUGACCUGGGCUACACACGUGCUACAUGGAUGGUACAAGGGCUGCAAACCUGCGAAGUAGCGAAUCCCAUAAGCCGAUUCUCAGUUCGGAUUGCAGG